rnacentral:rRNA from 1 species
CGUGUACGCGAAAACGACGCUGACCUUAUGUAUGUUUUAUCGAGUAGGACGGGGCACGAGAAACCCUGUUUGAAUCUGGCUGGACCACCAGCCAAGGCUAAAUAUAAUAUACGAUCGAUAGUGAACUAGUACAGCGAUGGAAAGGUGAAAAGAACCCCGGGAGGGGAGUGAAAUAGAUCCUGAAAUUUAGUGCCUACAAGGAGUCGGAGCCGGCUUGUCCGGUGACGGCGUGCUUUUUGUAGAACGAUCCAGCGAGUUAAUUUCGUGCGCAAGGUUAAGUUAGUUAACGGAGCCACAGUGAAAGCGAGCCUGAAUAGGGCGUUUAGUGUACGGAAUUAGACCCGAAACCGGGUGACCUAACCAUGAGCAGGUUGAAGCUACUGUAACAGGUAGUGAAGGACCGAACCAGGAUACGCAGCAAAGUGUUUGGAUGACUUGUGGUUAGCGGUGAAAUGCCAAUCGAACUCGGAGAUAGCUGGUUCUCCUCGAAAUAGCUUUAGGGCUAGCGUCAUGUUAGUAAUGUAUGGGGGUAGAGCUCUGUAAAGGAUUGGGGCGGGCAACUGUACCCACCCUUAACAAACUACGAAUACCGUAUAUGUAAUCAUGGCAGUUAGAACAUCGGUGCUAAGAUCGGUGCUCAAAAGGGAAACAGCCCAGACCAUCAUCUAAGGUCCCUAAAUAUACAUUAAGUGGGAAACAAGGUGAAAUUUCUUAAACAGCGAGGAUGUUGGCUUAGAAGCAGCCAUUCAUUUAAAGAGUGCGUAACAGCUCACUCGUCAAGAGAUUUUGCGUGGAAAAUGUAACGGGGCUAAAUGUAUUACCGAAGAUAUGGAUUAUUACAUUAGUAAUAGUGGUAGAGGAGCGUUCCUAUCAGCAGUGAAGCAGUAUUGAAAAGUAUUGUGGAGCGGUAGGAAGUGAGAAUGCUGGAAUGAGUAACCAUAAGAGAGGUGAGAAUCCUCUCGGCCGUAAGAGCAAGGUUUCCUGAGCUAUGGUAAUCAUCUCAGGGUUAGUCGGGCCUAAGCCGAGGCGCAGAGCGUAGGCGAUGGACAUCAGGUUAAUAUUCCUGAACCGGUUAAGUUUUGUACACUGUUCACGGGGAAGUAAUCGAAGCGGAUUCAUGGUUUAUCCGUCCAACCGAGCGGGAACGCAAAGGGAGUGAAAGUGAUUCUUCGGAGUCGCGAUUUUGGUGAAAGCCCUGGCUAGAAAAGCAGGUGUACGCGUGGACUUAGCCGCCCGUACCGCAAACCAACACAGGUGCUCGAGUCGAGUAGACUCAGGCUUACGAGCGAACCUUCGCUAAGGAACUCGGCAAUACAGCGACCGUAACUUCGGGAUAAGGUCUGCCCCCACUUCGGUGGAUAUCAGCCGCGUUCACUCAGUGAAUAUAUAGGUUAAAGAGUACAUUUUUAAUCACAAAACGAAUUUUCUGAGAUAGAGCAAAUGAAUUGUUCUUUUGAACGCGAAUCUCUGACAUCUAACGAUGUGGGGGCCGCAGCAAAAGAGCCCACGGAACUGUUUAUCAAAAACACAGGUCUCUGCUAACACGAAAGUGGAUGUAUAGGGGCUGACUCCUGCCCAAUGCUGGAAGGUUAAGGGGAGCGCUUCACGGUGCGAACUGAAGCCCUAGUCAAUGGCGGCGGUAACUAUAACCGUCCUAAGGUAGCGAAAUUCCUUGUCAGGUAAGUUCUGACCCGCACGAAUGGAGUAAUCAUGUGGGCACUGUCUCAGCGAAGGACUCGGUGAAAGUGCAUUGGCGGUAAAGAUGCCGUCUGUCCGUACCAGGACGAAAAGACCCCAUGGAGCUUUACUACAGCUUUACAUUGAAUACGGUUUCAACAUGUGUAGCAUAGGUGGGAGAUAUUGAAGCAGAUACGCCAGUAUUUGUGGAGUCACCAAGUGAAAUACCACCCUUGUUGUGAUUGUGUUCUCACGCUGACCGUUAUCCGGUUAGCGGACCGUGUAUGGUGGGUAGUUUAACUGGGGCGGUUGCCUCCUAAAGAGUAGCGGAGGCGUUCAAAGGUUGGCUAACUUCGGAUGGAAAUCGAAGUGAUAGUGUAUGCGCAUAAGCCAGCUUGACUGUGAGGAGUACAUUCCAAUCAGAGACGAAAGUCGGAGCAAGUGAUCCGCUGUACGUACAUUUGUACAUGAAUGUGGGAUCGACAGCGCAAACGGAUAAAAGUUACCCUGGGGAUAACAGGCUUAUAGCGCCCAAUAGUUCACAUAGACGGCGCUGUUUGGCACCUCGAUGUCGGCUCAUCACAUCCUGGAGGGGGAGCACCUUCCAAGGGUUCGGCUGUUCGCCGAUUAAAGUGGUACGCGAGCUGGGUUCAGAACGUCGUGAGACAGUUCGGUUUAUAUCCGG